CUCCAUCUAAGUUUUUGAAUAUAUGGAUCUAAAUCAGCGUGAGCAACAUAACAAUAGGAACCAAUGAAUCAAUGAUCGGACUACAAAGCACACAUUAUACAACCUCAUAUCUUUAUAUAGAUAACUACAGGAAAUUAACUUCCCAUACAUUCAGUACAACCAAUAUUCAUGGUUUGUUAAUUUUCCGAUGCUUAAGAGCUAAAUGAGCUAAUACUAACUCCGCUCCACCUCUAUCCAAUAAUUUUUACAUUCACCCCAUCUCUCUUUGCCUUAUCGUCUGUUUGUUUAUUAUUUUCUCGCACCUGCUUCUCUGAUUAUGGAGAAGAAAAAAAAAUUACAUUGUCAAAGUUUUUUUUUUCUUUGAGGAUUCGGUUGGUAUUGUAUUAUUUACUUUAGUGGUGCGAUAUUAAGGUAAUAAUUUGAAACUACGAUAGAGAAAAUACCUCAAGAAUUGGAAAGUUUAUCUUCUUCAAUGUUUUCAAGCUUCCCUGAAAUGAAUAAUCGCUUGAAUAUGGCUCUUCUUUGCAAAAGGCUCAUUAAAGCUCAUAUAUUUUUUUUUUUAAUUGAGCGGCUGGACAGAGGGAAGUACAGCUGCAGAUUCCAUGACUGGCUGUCUUUAAAACACUUUGUGAAACCUUGCUGGGGUGGAGUAAACGAGUAACCAAUGACCUGGUUUUAUAACAUUCACUAAGCAAAGUGGGUCAUGGAAGUGAUAAUUGAAAUAAACGUAUGCAAUAUUUAGACAGUAAUGGAGAGAAUAAGUUACGUUGACAGAGUUUAAAAAGAUAGAAAACACAAAUCGGUUGCAACUCAUCCGUUAUUGUCUAUGAGAAUUGUCUAUGGAAGAUGAA
rnacentral:lncRNA from 1 species